rnacentral:rRNA from 1 species
GAUGAACGCUGGCGGCGUGCUUAACACAUGCAAGUCGAACGAGAAGUGAAGACGGAAACCUUCGGGCGGAAGGCUUUAUUUCGAGUGGCGGAUGGGUGAGUAACGCGUGGGUAACCUGCCUCAUACAGGGGGAUAACAGUUGGAAACGACUGUUAAUACCGCAUAAGACCACAGCACCGCAUGGUGCGGGGGUGAAAACUCCGGUGGUAUGAGAUGGACCCGCGUUCGAUUAGCCAGUUGGCGGGGUAACGGCCCACCAAAGCGACGAUCGAUAGCCGAUCUGAGAGGAUGACCGGCCACAUUGGGACUGAGACACGGCCCAAACUCCUACGGGAGGCAGCAGUGGGGAAUAUUGCACAAUGGGGGAAACCCUGAUGCAGCGACGCCGCGUGAGUGAAGAAGUAUUUCGGUAUGUAAAGCUCUAUCAGCAGGGAAGAAAAUGACGGUACCUGAGUAAGAAGCCCCGGCUAACUACGUG